rnacentral:rRNA from 1 species
UGGGAGCACAGGUUUACCUGUGUGACUGCGUACCUUUUGUAUAAUGGGUCAGCGACUUAUAUUCUGUAGCAAGGUUAACCGUAUAGGGGAGCCGUAGGGAAACCGAGUCUUAACCGGGCGUUAAGUUGCAGGGUAUAGACCCGAAACCCGGUGAUCUAGCCAUGGGCAGGUUGAAGGUUGGGUAACACUAACUGGAGGACCGAACCGACUAAUGUUGAAAAAUUAGCGGAUGACCUGUGGCUGGGGGUGAAAGGCCAAUCAAACCGGGAGAUAGCUGGUUCUCCCCGAAAGCUAUUUAGGUAGCGCCUCGUGAAUUCAUCUCCGGGGGUAGAGCACUGUUUCGGCUAGGGGGCCAUCCCGGCUUACCAACCCGAUGCAAACUGCGAAUACCGGAGAAUGUUAUCACGGGAGACACACGGCGGGUGCUAACGUCCGUCGUGAAGAGGGAAACAACCCAGACCGCCAGCUAAGGUCCCAAAGUCAUGGUUAAGUGGGAAACGAUGUGGGAAGGCCCAGACAGCCAGGAUGUUGGCUUAGAAGCAGCCAUCAUUUAAAGAAAGCGUAAUAGCUCACUGGUCGAGUCGGCCUGCGCGGAAGAUGUAACGGGGCUAAACCAUGCACCGAAGCUGCGGCAGCGAACGUAUCACCCAAGACAACUUUACGGAGUUGACGAUUGACGGAGCGAAGCGACGUCAAAGCGUUCAUUAAAGUCGAGUUGGCUUAGGGAUACGUUCGUUGGGUAGGGGAGCGUUCUGUAAGCCUGUGAAGGUGUGUCGUGAGGCAUGCUGGAGGUAUCAGAAGUGCGAAUGCUGACAUAAGUAACGAUAAAGCGGGUGAAAAGCCCGCUCGCCGGAAGACCAAGGGUUCCUGUCCAACGUUAAUCGGGGCAGGGUGAGUCGACCCCUAAGGCGAGGCCGAAAGGCGUAGUCGAUGGGAAACGGGUUAAUAUUCCCGUACUUGGUGUUACUGCGAAGGGGGGACGGAGAAGGCUAUGUUGGCCGGGCGACGGUUGUCCCGGUUUAAGCGUGUAGGUGUGUGUUCCAGGUAAAUCCGGUUCACUUUAACACUGAGGCGUGACGACGAGGCACUACGGUGCUGAAGCAACAAAUGCCCUGCUUCCAGGAAAAGCCUCUAAGCAUCAGGUAACACGAAAUCGUACCCCAAACCGACACAGGUGGUCAGGUAGAGAAUACCAAGGCGCUUGAGAGAACUCGGGUGAAGGAACUAGGCAAAAUGGUGCCGUAACUUCGGGAGAAGGCACGCUGACACGUAGGUGAAGUGAUUUACUCAUGGAGCUGAAGUCAGUCGAAGAUACCAGCUGGCUGCAACUGUUUAUUAAAAACACAGCACUGUGCAAACACGAAAGUGGACGUAUACGGUGUGACGCCUGCCCGGUGCCGGAA